UAUAUUUGAGAAAUUCAUUAGAAAAUAAAUAAAUAAUAGCCCGAUCUCGUCUGAUCUCAGAAGCUAAGCAGGGUCAGGCCUGGUUAGUAUUUGAAUGAGAGACCACCUAGGAAGACCAGGUGCUGCUGUAG
rnacentral:rRNA from 1 species